GAUUGUGAGGGUAAUGUGGCCGUGACAUCUGUCACCUCAUUGAUCACCAGGAUGGUCUCACCUGAUCUCACUGGCUUGACGGCUGUUCCCUUCCUCCCUCACUGCUCUUUGUGUGCCCCUCCAGAAGCUGCAUAUUGAGUAGAAGAGGACAGCCAACCCAGAUAAGUAAAUGUGAUAACGGGCAAGACAAAAUGGUAUAAAUAAAAGAAACAUGAAAGCGAUGGAAAGAGCAUAGGAUUU
rnacentral:snRNA from 1 species